GACGAACCGUGCGAACGUUAUUCGGAAUCACUGGGCUUAAAGCGCGUGUAGGCGGGAGCGCACGUCCGGGGCUGAAAUCCCCCGGCUCAACCGGGGAACGGGCGCGGAUACGACGCUCCUGGAGGGGCGUAGGGGGACCUGGAACUUCCGGUGGAGCGGUGAAAUGCGUUGAGAUCGGAAGGAACGCCCGUGGCGAAAGCGAGGUCCUGGACGCCUACUGACGCUGAGACGCGAAAGCCAGGGGAGCGAACGGG
rnacentral:rRNA from 1 species